UACGUAGGUGGCAAGCGUUAUCCGGAAUUAUUGGGCGUAAAGCGCGCGCAGGCGGUUUCUUAAGUCUGAUGUGAAAGCCCACGGCCGUCAACCCGUGGAGGGUCAUUGGAAACUGGGGAACUUGAGUGCAGAAGAGAAAAGCGGAAUUCCAGCGUGUAGCGGAUGAAAUGGCGUAGGAGAAUGUGGAGGAACACCGAUGGCGA
rnacentral:rRNA from 1 species